CAGAAUCUGAAGACUACUUGCUCCUCUGCUCAACACAGGAGGGAAAAACUUGUACUAUUUAAUGUUAUGGUAUGUGGAAUUAGCUCAGAGCACUGGCAGCUCAAGCUUCCAAAGAACUGUGAAUAAUAAUUCAUCCAGUGAUACCUGUCAAUGGUCCUCUCCUGUUUUGGGUGAGAAGCAAACACAUCAUGUCUACAGAACAUCAAGCAAAGAAUAAUUUGAAGCCUAUUUCCAGCUGCUUGAACCUUUGGAUAAAUGGCCAAGGAGAGAAGGGAAGGGAAAAUCAGAGAGAAGAAUGAGAGGUUCAAGAGUUGCACCAAGUUGUGAGUACCGAUUGCCUACCUCCUCCAUCUCCACAAUCUUCACUACAGCUAUUGGAAGAGAAACACUGGAGGUGAGCUACAGCAAUAAAGUGCCCAUGCUGAGGAAUAGCAAAGUGAGCUGAACACAUAAAACAAGUGAUAGGGACAGGCCAAACAUCAGGUACUGUACUAUGAUAUCAUUAACUUCCGUGAACUACAUAAAUUAAGCUGAUUAUGCCUUCACUUAAUUAACUGAGAAUGACCUAUUGAUGUAUAGGCCGAGUUAGCUAGAGACCGCUUGCUGCACUGUACUUAAUUUAUUGGUUUUCAAUUAGUUCUUCCAUUGCCUGUGAUUGUUGAGAAAAAAAAAAAAAAU